AAACAUGUCUUUUUGUAAAUAAUUUAAAGUCUAAUCUGCCCACUGAUNAAUUUAUUAAAGGGCUGCAGUAUUUUGACUGUACAAAGGUAGCAUAAUCAUUAGUCUCUUAAUUGGUGACUUGUAUGAAAGAUUGGAUGAGAUAUAUACUGUCUCUAAUUAAUUUAUAAAAUUUAAUUUUUUAGUAAAAAAGCUAAAAUGAUUUUAAAAGACGAGAAGACCCUAUAGAGUUUAAUAAUUUAUUUAAUUAUUAUUAUUAUAUAAAUUUUAAAAUUAAAAUUAAAUAAAUUAUUUUGUUGGGGUGAUAGAAAAAUUAAAUUAACUUUUUUUUUAUUUUAAACAUUAAUUUAUGAAUAAAUGAUCCAUUAAUAGUGAUUAUAAGAAAAAAUUACCUUAGGGAUAACAGCGUAAUUUUUUUUUUUAGUUCAAAUAGGAAAAAAAGUUUGCGACCUCGAUGUUGGAUUAAGAUAAAAUUUAAAUGCAAAAGUUUAAAAUUUUAAUCUGUUCGAUCAUUAAAAUCUUA
rnacentral:rRNA from 1 species